rnacentral:rRNA from 1 species
UACGAAGGGUGCAAACGUUGCUCGGAAUCAUUGGGCGUAAAGCGCACGUAGGCGGCCUGUUAAGUCGGAUGUGAAAUCCCUCGGCUCAACCGAGGACGUGCAUUCGAAACUGGCAGGCUCGAGUAUGGAAGAGGGUCGCGGAAUUCCCGGUGUAGAGGUGAAAUUCGUAGAUAUCGGGAGGAACACCAGUGGCGAAGGCGGCGACCUGGGCAAAUACUGACGCUGAGGUGCGAAAGCGUGGGGAGCAAACAGG